rnacentral:rRNA from 1 species
CAGUUAUCGUUUAUUUGAUAGUACCUUACUACUUGGAUACCUGUGGUAAUUCUAGAGCUAAUACAUGCUGAAAACCUCGACUUCGGAAGGGGUGUAUUUAUUAGAUAAAAAACCAAUGCCCUUCGGGGCUCCUGGGCGAUUCAUAAUAACUCAACGAAUCGCAUGGCCUUGCGCCGGCGAUGGUUCAUUCAAAUUUCUGCCCUAUCAACUUUCGAUGGUAGGAUAGUGGCCUACCAUGGUUUCUACGGGUAACGGGGAAUUAGGGUUCUAUUCCGGAGAGGGAGCCUGAGAAACGGCUACCACAUCCAAGGAAGGCAGCAGGCGCGCAAAUUACCCAAUCCCGACACGGGGAGGUAGUGACAAUAAAUACUGAUACAGGGCUCUUACGGGUCUUGUAAUUGGAAUGAGUACAAUUUAAAUCCCUUAACGAGGAACAAUUGGAGGGCAAGUCUGGUGCCAGCAGCCGCGGUAAUUCCAGCUCCAAUAGCGUAUAUUAAAGUUGUUGCAGUUAAAAAGCUCGUAGUUGAAACUUGGGUCUGGCUGACCGGUCCGCCUCACCGCGUGCACUGGCUCGGCCGGGUCUUUCCUUCUGGGGAUCCUUAUGCCCUUCAUUGGGUGUAACGGGGAACCAGGACUUUUACUUUGAAAAAAUUAGAGUGUUCAAAGCAGGCCUAUGCUCGAAUACAUUAGCAUGGAAUAAUGGAAUAGGACGUGUGGUUCUAUUUUGUUGGUUUCUAGGACCGCCGUAAUGAU